GACGAACGCUGGCGGCGUGCUUAACACAUGCAAGUCGAACGGAAAGGCCCUGCUUUUGUGGGGUGCUCGAGUGGCGAACGGGUGAGUAACACGUGAGUAACCUGCCCUUGACUUUGGGAUAACUUCAGGAAACUGGGGCUAAUACCGGAUAGGAGCUCCUGCUGCAUGGUGGGGGUUGGAAAGUUUCGGCGGUUGGGGAUGGACUCGCGGCUUAUCAGCUGGUUGGCGGGGUAGUGGCUUACCAAGGCUUUGACGGGUAGCCGGCCUGAGAGGGUGAACGGCGACAUUGGGCCUGCGAUACGGCGCAGACUCCUACGGGAGGCAGUAGUGGGGAAUCUUGCACAAUGGGCGGAAGCCUGAUGUAGCAACGCCGCGUGCGGGAUGCCGGCCUUCGGGUUGUAAACCGCUUUGGCCUGUGACGAAGCGUGAGUGACGGUAAUGGGUAAAGAAGCACCGGCUAACUACGUG
rnacentral:rRNA from 1 species